UACCAGCACCCCGAGUGGUCGGGACGAUUAUUGGGCCUAAAGCAUCCGUAGCCGGUUCUGCAAGUCUUCCGUUAAAUCCAGCUGCUUAACAGUUGGGCUGCGGAGGAUACUAUAGAGCUAGGAGGCGGGAGAGGCAAGCGGUACUUAGUGGGUAGGGGUAAAAUCCGUUGAUCCAUUGAAGACCACCAGUGGCGAAGGCGGCUUGCCAGAACGCACUCGACGGUGAGGGAUGAAAGCUGGGGGAGCAAACCGG
rnacentral:rRNA from 1 species